UGAGACGAAGAACAAAACAGCAUGCCACCUGACUGAUGACCCACCCACCGUUUACCCGGCCCCAGGAGCUAGAAGGCCUUGAGACAAAAGCUCGGGCAGGAUCCUGACGGACGCAACAGAAUAUCAUCUACGAUGCUUGUCCCACGGCCUGACUGAAUAAUAUUUAUAUAAUCAAUGGAAGGAAAAAACAGUAGAACAUUGAAAUUGGCUCGUAGGCAAGACGGAAGAUGGUCAAAACCGGUCAGAAAAUUAUGGCCUAGACACGGUUGGAGAGCUCUUGUUGGCAGAAACCACCUGAAGAUGGUCAUUUGACAUCAGCAACCUGGUGAUACAAUGAACCGGAGCGGCACCGAACUGAAAAAGUUGAAAAACUUGGCAUACAUACUAUGAGACCUAUUUGAUGACUGAUCUAAGCCAAGUUCAGACUGAUUAUUGUGAUAGUUGAUAACUAAGAAUACCUAAUAUGCUUUUAUGGUGUGUGAAAUAGUAUACUUUUUAUAAUUUAUUAAUUAAAAGUUUAAUAAAUGUUUUACUUACCUAAA